rnacentral:lncRNA from 1 species
ACUUCCUCCACUGCCAGAGAUCUUGAAUAGCCUCCUGGUCAGUCACCCAGAAGCAAUUCUUCACAUAACUGAUGAACUUGGCUUCCCUUUGGGAAGAGAACCACCUUUUUCUAUGCUUGCUUGCAUUUUUGCUUUAACGUCUUCUACAGAACUAGGUCCCUUUGGUGUUUUAGGAGUUUUUUCCUGUUUUUUGAAGGAUUCUUGUCCUUUUUAUCUUGGUGUUGAUGAUGGUUUUGAGUCUUUUCCAUUCUGAUUUGACUUGUGUGCAUUUUUGGCUGUAGUAUCUUGUAUAGAUUUCUUCACUGGUGCUUUUUCUUCAGUUUCCUCAUCAUCAAAAUCAUCAUCAUCAUCAUCAUCUUCAUCAGCAACAAGUUUUACCUUUUUCUGUGGAAACUUGCUACCACUUCCAGGGACCAACUGCUUUCCAGAUAUACUUAAGAGUUUCACAUUCUCCUCCUCUUCAUCUUCUGACUCUGCAUCUUCCUCCACAGCUACUAAGUGCUGUCCACUAAUAUGCACUGGCCCUGAAUCACACUUCAACUGUAAGAGCGCUGGUGGUGUUAUUUCAAAGCCCCCAAGGGAAAGCUUUGGCUGUACAGACAUUUUCAAAGUUGCCAGUGUUAACUUUAAUUGGACUGCCUUUGUAAUUCAUUGCCUCUUCUUCAACAAUGUGCAGUUCAUCCUUUGCACCAGUCCCUAAACAGACCGUUCUUAAAGAUAACUGGUCUCAUUUUCAUCAUUAUCCACCUUAAAGUGAUCAUCUUUAUUGGCCUUUAGUUCACAACCGAAAAGUUAGUUCUGGGGCCUCAGGGGGCUCAUGUCCAUGUCCAUCGAAUCUUCCAUCAGGUGGCUACAUGCACUUAGGUGGGAGAGAAGGUGGACAGAGAUAAACGACCCCAGCUCAAGAGAAGAGCCGCGCAGGACAGAAUCACACCUGGGCGGGUGAUUCUUAUAUACAACUGUGGCUGAGAAUUAUUAGUGUAGAGCAGCAGUUCUCAAACUUGAGUGUGUAUCAGAAUAACCUAGAGGGCUUGUUAAGAUACAGAUUACCAUGCCCAACUCUCAAUUUCUGAUUUAGCAGGUUUCGGGUAGGGCCCAAGAAUUAGCAUUUCUAAUAAAUUCUCAGAUGUUACUGAUGCUGUUCCUCCAGGACCACACUUUGAGAACCACUGAUGUAGAGAAAAAAAAGUGACUGAACUGGAAACUCAAAAGGCUGCCCAGGGUCUCUCAAAGGCAAAAUAAUUCAUUACCUCACACCCGUUAGGAUGGCCACUAUCAAAAGAACAGAAAAUAACAAGUGUUAGGAAGGAUGCAGAGAAAUUGGAAUCCUUGUACACUGUUGGUGGGAAUGUAAAAUAGUGCAGUUAUUAUUAAAAAUAGUACAGAGGUUUCUCAAAAAAUUGAAAAUAAAAUUACCAUAUGAUCUAGCAAUCUCACUUCUGUGUAUAUAUCCAAAAGAACUGAAAAUAGGAUCUCAAACAAUUAUUUGCACACCCACGUUUAUUGCAGUAUUAUUCACAACAGCCAAGAAGUGGAAGCAACCUAGAUGUCUAACAGAUGGACAGAUAAACAAAAUGUGAUAUAUGUAUACAAUGGAAUACUAUGCAGCUUUAAACAGAAGGAAAUAGUGUCACAAGCUAUGACACGAAUGAACCUCAAGGACAUUAUGCUAAGUAAAAUAAGCCAGGUACAAAAAUAUAAAUACUCUAUGAUUCCACUCACAUGAAGUAUCUAAAGUAGUCAAAAUCAUAGAAAGUAGAAAGGUGGUUGCCAAGAGCUGGUGGAAGAGAGAGAGGAAAUUAACGCUCAAUGGGUAUAGAGUUUCAGUUUUGCAAGAUGAAAAAGUUCUAGAGAUCUGCUAUACAACAACAUGAAUAUAUUUAACACUAUUGAACUAUAUGCUUAAAAAUUGUUAGGAUGAUAAAUGUAAUGUUUUUUCAACUACAACAAAUAAAUAGGGCAAAAUAAUUGAGGUAAUCGAUUUUUAAAAGCUAUUUGCUUUAAUGUACAUGCAUAUGUUAUUUAAAUUUUUACAACAAAUCUUAUUUCUAAAAAGCUUUAAAGAUAAUUAUUUUACAGUUCCGCAAUAAAAUAAACCAAUUUUUCAACCAAGAAAUACUUCAAAAUCAUGAUUUAAAUAUUUUAGACCCCUUUUUGCUAUUCAAAGUGCUUUGGUUUGAACUUUUUUCUCUGUGUAGACAUUUUUCUCUGAGAUUCUCUCUGAAUGAUGAGGUAAAACACCAUUAUAUUAAAAUACCACUUUAAUCUUACAACCGCCCCCAACAUGAAAUCCUUAGCUUUUGUCAGAACCCCAAAGAGUCCUCUUAUCCAAAAUUAAGAACUGCUCUCAGAGGAUAUCCCUACUGGGUAUAGUGCCCUAUAAGGGUGUUCCCAUGGAACUUCAGUAAAACUUUGUAUUAAUUACCUCAAUGUCACCUACAACUCUCUGCCACUGUCUCUUCCAUUAAGACUGCAAGCUUUCUGAAAACCAACAAGAGUCUUAAAUUUAUCUGGCACCUAGAUGUGCAUGAGAAUGUGUUCAAUGAAACCUCUAUAGACACAUGAUUGAAUAAAAGAUCUCUAUAUUCCCUUCUACUUUGUACACUAUUGAUAAUUUGCAAGAGGUGAAAUGUUUUCUAUAGGCAUAUCAUUUGGAAUGAUUAGAUCAGGCAAAAGGUACAAAUAGAAAACAGAAUUCUACCUCCUUUUCUUCUCAAGUGCUGUAGUACUCAUAGCGAAUAAAGAUGUAAGUUUUCCUGGCUAGACACCUUGCACCUUUCCCUGGAAUCCCAAGCCCUCAACUGCAGCGAUCACCAGCCACUGACAAACACUUCAGAGAUUCUCAGGGCCUAGACAUGUUUCAAAGAGAAACUACAUAAAGGGCUAUUUAGAGAACUGACACUUUCAUUUUAAAAGUCCCUAAAACAUGAACCAGCAAUGGUAAUAUGCUUGUAGAUGCAAAGACACAACUGAAUCAUGAAAGUGGCAAGAGUGUCAUUUCUUCAACUUCGGCUUUUCUAGUUUGUAGUAAGUUAAAAAAAAUACUGGAGUACAAAAUUCACUUGUAAGUUAUUUGGCAUAUCUGUAUCUUUUGGUUGCAUUGGUAAUUUAAAAAUAAGCAAUAUGCUAUUUUUAGUAUCUUAACUUCCCUACACAUAAACUAUUACAAUUAAAUCCUGUUUAGUUUUUUUUUUCCUAAGCAACUCUACUAAAAUGACUGUUUAGUUUUUUCACCAUCUCUACUUUACAAUUUACUUCCUGUAUUUUAUAUUUGGUUGUUCUUUCAGAACAUGUCAUGGGCAGUUUCAACAGAUAGCACAUGACACAUAUUCUUUCCAGAUUUCUACGAUUAAUCCUGAAUUUAUUCCAUUUCCAUAUGCAGAAAGUCUGAAAUAUUUUCCAUUGACAUUUCAUAGGGAUAGAGCUGUAGAGUUCUAUCUCAAUUUGCAAUGGAUUACUAGGAAAGGAGGUCCCUUAUUAUAUGGACCAUCAUAAAAACCAAGACAAGAAACUAAUAACCUAUAUUCUCUAAAAACCAUGUGCAUCACAAGAUCAUUAGGUAUAAGCAUUUCUAAGGCAUGAGAGAAUUAGCACUUCACAGCCACAAGCACGAGAUGCCACAUUCUAUAAUCAUCUUUAUUUCUCUCAACUGAGAUGGAAACCUGCAUCUCACUUAAGGAUUUUAGAGCAAAAAGGAUCAGGAAUAUUUAUUUUGGCCCAUAUCCUUUUGCGUCUUUUUCUUUCUCCUGACGUUCUCUUAUUAAUCCAGCAUUCUUAUUUUUCAAAGAAAAGACUAGCUUGAAUUUUUAUCCCUUUGAAAUGUAUCUCACUGGACCCCUUAUAAAUCACUUCUUAACUGAAGUGAAUUUUCAUUUAUUUUUAAAUUUCUCAGUCCCUAAGGAGUGCCAUAUUCUUUAUGUUACUUUAGUUAGAAUUUUAAAUUUUAAUUUUGCCUAGAGUUGGAAUUUCAGAUAGCUUAAAAGCGUUUUCAUUUUUUUUCUUUAAACAGUGGCCUGUAAGGUAUACUUAGCCUUUUGAAAGAGAGAUGCUUUUCUGAAAAAUGCCUUACAAUUUUCACAUUCUUAUAGACUUACAUAAUUUCAGGGCAGCUUUGUAACAACAUUCAAAUUGACAAGGGUUUCAAAACCUUUCAUUUUAAUGGUCUCGCCCAGACAAUCUGCCAUUUAAAUUUCUGUAGGAGAAAUACUGAUAUUUACAGAAACUUGUGGAUCCUGACAACCUUGCUUAAUUUAUCUAUUUGAAGUUGAUUUUUACAUGCUAGGUUUUACUAAGCAGAAAGCAAGAAAAAAAUGAAGUUUUUAAAAGAUUUAGACCAAAAUACUAUUAUGCCAUUUCGGUCUUCACUUAAGUAACUCUAAGACGGGAUUUCUCAACCUCUGCAUUACUGACAUUUUGGGCUGGAUAAUUCUUUGUUGUAGGGGGCUGUCUUGUGCAUAGUAGGAUGUUUAGCAGCAUCUCUGGUCUCCUCUAUCCACUAGAUGCCCAUAGCACCCCUGCCUCACCCCUUCCUGACCCCACAACUUCUGACAACCAAAAAAAAAUAUCUCCAGACAUAGCCAAAUGCCCCUUGGGGUAGAGGAGAGGGAGAUAAAAUGGCCCUAGUUGAGAACCACUGCUGUUUAUUUUGUGCAUCAUCAAAACUAAAGUUUCUACUACAGUAAGCCUCGGUGUUUAUUUUUACAAAGGAGGCAUAUAGCAAG